UAACAGAGGUCUCAAGCGUUGUUCGGAUUCAUUGGGCGUAAAGGGUGCGUAGGCGGCGCGGUAAGUCGGGUGUGAAAUCUGGAGCUUAACUCCGAAACUGCAUUCGAUACUGCCGUGCUUGAGGACUGGAGAGGAGACUGGAAUUUACGGUGUAGCGGUGAAAUGCGUAGAUAUCGUAAGGAAGACCAGUGGCGAAGGCGGGUCUCUGGACAGUUCCUGACGCUGAGCACGAAGGCCAGGGGAGCAAACGGG
rnacentral:rRNA from 1 species